AUUUACACGUUUCGUGCGUUCAUAAGCAUGCACAUGCCCAGCUAGCACUAUAUCCACACCAGCAGCAUAAAUUAAUGGCUCUAUAGCUGCCAUCAUCCCAUCCCCUUCACCUUGAUGAGCAUGGUUGCUAUUAUACCAAGGCACAUGGAAUAGAACAAGUAGCCAAGGUAUCUGCUUCCGGUCAACCUUAGCUAGAUCAGCCUUGAGCCAAUUAUAUUGUUCUGAGUAUUCAUCAUAAUCCGUAUAGGAACCAAGCAUAAUAACAUGGGCUCCUCCAACUUCAAAAGAAUAAUAAAGAUUUGAACUUGAACCACUCUCCUCAAAGGGCAUCUUCCAUCUAGAAUUAUAGGAUUGAAAACCAUCCUUAAUUAUAGGUAUGCUUUCUUCUUCAUGGUUCCCUUCUGUCACCAUCCAUGGCCUUGAACUAGCAAGUGGCUGGACCAAUUCACCAAAUGUGUCCCACCGAUGCUGCAUGUAAUCCGCAUAUGAAAGGUCUCCAGGGAGCAGAUGCACAUCAUAUUUACAUUGGUCAAUAUGGUCUAGAGUUGAUUUAGUCCAGCCAGUUUGGCCUAAAUCUCCAGCCACAGCGAAAGUAAUUGGCAACUGAGCCGGAGGAGUUUUCAGUUGGAAUUCGGGACCUUGUCCUCCACAUCGGUAGAAGUAAACAGUGCUGGGUUCUAGUGGCCCAAUGACAGUGUGGUGUAUCUUUCCAGAGCUAUAUAAUAGAUAACUAUAAGAUGUGCUCUCCCCAUGAGAUAUAGCACUGUACCUUCCAGGCGAAGUUCCAUAUUCAACAGUUGACAGACUAGAUUUAUCAUCAGUUACCCAUGAGACUCGAAUGUGUUUGUCUCCAGCCAAAGAGAUGUGUACCUGCUGGGGAUGAGAAGAAGGCCUGGAACUCCAUGGAAAAUGCAAGGUUUUGCGAGGUGGAGGUCUGAUGUACUCAGAAGUGACAGUUGCAGAGAUUAACAGAAACACCGUUAAGAUCAAUUUAGGCUCCAUUAAUUCAGAAGUAUUAAUUCAGAAGUACAAGUUCUUGCCAUAAUCAAGGAAGAAAUAAAGAUCCAUUACCAUUUCAUUGCGUGUGAAGAUUUUCGGUGAGUGCGGAUAUCGGUGGCAACUGGGGGUGUUUCGGUGUUAAUUGACG
rnacentral:misc_RNA from 1 species